rnacentral:tRNA from 1 species
GGGGAGAGGGUACAGUGGUAGAGCACAUGCCUAGCAAGCACGAGGUCCUGGAUUCAAUCCCCAGUACCCCCA